rnacentral:rRNA from 1 species
CAGCAGCCGCGGGAAUACGAAGGGGGCUAGCGUUGUUCGGAUUUACUGGGCGUAAAGCGCACGUAGGCGGAUCGAUCAGUCAGGGGUGAAAUCCAGAGCUCAACUCUGGAACUGCCUUUGAUACUGUCGAUCUGGAGUAUGGAAGAGGUGAGUGGAAUUCCGAGUGUAGAGGUGAAAUUCGUAGAUAUUCGGAGGAACACCAGUGGCGAAGGCGGCUACCUGGUCCGAUACUGACGCUGAGGCGCGAAAGCGUGGGGAGCAAACAGGAUUAGAUACCCCAGUAGUCCCUGUCUCUUAUACA